rnacentral:misc_RNA from 1 species
GCUUGAUCACGAAAUGGUUGUUCUUGCUCCUCCUAGUCCUAGUUGCUGAAGGAUCUUUCUCAUUUUUCCUUCAAGUUGAUGCACGAAAGGUUGUUUCAGCAGAGGGAUGGAAAGAGAAAACUAGCUAUCUUGCAUUUGAUGUUAAGCAAAACCAUAAUUGGCUGCAGGUAUCUGGCUCAGAGCAAGUUGUGGGUGGCAAGAUUGGUACCAAGAUAGAAAAAACUGGAGCUGAAGAAAAUCGUACAAUAAGAGGGGGGGGCUUUUGUUCAACUUAUCGGCAUGGAACAUCCAUUCAGUCCCAGAGCUCAUACUGCCAACACUCCUCCAACUCCCAUGGUUAAACGUUUAUAGGUGAAAGGAAGACGUCAUGUAAGAUUUGAAUUUGUGGAUUGCACGUUCAAAUGCUUAGAUUAAAGUAGGGAAAAGAAGG